CCUGNAUCAGCCAUGCCGCGUGAGUGAAGAAGGCCUUCGGGUUGUAAAGCUCUUUCGGCUGGGAAGAAAUCGCACAGGCUAAUACUCUGUGUGGAUGACGGUACCAGCACAAGAAGCACCGGCUAACUACGUGCCAGCAGCCGCGGUAAUACGUAGGGUGCGAGCGUUAAUCGGAAUUACUGGGCGUAAAGCGUGCGCAGGCGGUUGUGCAAGACAGAUGUGAAAUCCCCGGGCUCAACCUGGGAACUGCAUUUGUGACUGCACGACUAGAGUACGGCAGAGGGGGGUAGAAUUCCACGUGUAGCAGUGAAAUGCGUAGAGAUGUGGAGGAAUACCGAUGGCGAAGGCAGCCCCCUGGGCCGAUACUGACGCUCAUGCACGAAAGCGUGGGGAGCAAACAGGAUUAGAUACCCUGGUAGUCCACGCCCUAAACGAUGUCAACUAGUUGUUGGUAGGGUUAAACCUAUUAGUAACGUAGCUAACGCGUGAAGUUGACCGCCUGGGGAGUACGGUCGCAAGAUUAAAACUCAAAGAAUUUG
rnacentral:rRNA from 1 species